rnacentral:rRNA from 1 species
UAGGGAAUCUUCGGCAAUGGACGGAAGUCUGACCGAGCAACGCCGCGUGAGUGAAGAAGGUUUUCGGAUCGUAAAGCUCUGUUGUAAGAGAAGAACGAGUGUGAAAGUGGAAAGUUCACACUGUGACGGUAUCUUACCAGAAAGGGACGGCUAACUACGUGCCAGCAGCCGCGGUAAUACGUAGGUCCCGAGCGUUGUCCGGAUUUAUUGGGCGUAAAGCGAGCGCAGGCGGUUAGAUAAGUCUGAAGUUAAAGGCUGUGGCUUAACCAUAGUACGCUUUGGAAACUGUUUAACUUGAGUGCAAGAGGGGAGAGUGGAAUUCCAUGUGUAGCGGUGAAAUGCGUAGAUAUAUGGAGGAACACCGGUGGCGAAAGCGGCUCUCUGGCUUGUAACUGACGCUGAGGCUCGAAAGCGUGGGGAGCAAACAGGAUUAGAUACCCUGGUAGUCCACGCCGUAAACGAUGAGUGCUAGGUGUUAGACCCUUUCCGGGGUUUAGUGCCGCAGCUAACGCAUUAAGCGCUCCGCCUGGGGAGUACGACCGCAAGGUUG